CAAAAGCAAACUUAAUCACAGGGUAGAUGGUUGGGUGUUUGUGUGGAAAGUCACGUACACUCAUCCUAUUGUUCUAUUUUAACAGCUACAGUUCCCUAAAACUGCAGUGUCUGGCAGUUUGCGGUUACUUCUUUUUACUAGACAACUAGACAAUUCUUUAUAUAGUAAUUGUUUUGCUAAAGUCUACAUGGUAGAAAAAACAACAGGUCUUGGAAAAGUACAAGUAACUUGUACUUUUUCAUUAUGCAGGUAGCUAAUACUCUGCCAUGUGCCAUUUUCUACUACACAGGGAGAAUGGAUGAGAUGGAGAGUGUGGAACAACGCAAGGUCAGCUGGCAAUCUUGCUGAGCGAUACCAGCGAGUCCUGGAAAGAUUGUGAACAGCAUUUUUGACCUGAACACAUAGGAUCUCAAAUCAAAAAGAACAGAUUUGCUGUUGUACUCCGAGGUAGAGACGUAGACUAAAACCACUAGAUGAAAUGGGUUUAGAGUUUCUACAGAAUGCUGAAUGCAGCUGGGAUGAAGAAGGGGAGAUUGAUUUUCACGAUGAGUGGAAAAAGAUUCCUCGUGCCGUUGCUGUUUUUUUGUACAGCUUCAAUAAGACCUCAGCCGAAACGUUCCUAAAACCAUCUUCAAGAAGAAACCGAUUUUUCUUACGAUUAUGGUGCAGGGGUCAUAUUCCCCAAGGAUCAGAGCACUGGACAAAAUAAUCUGAUCUUGUUUGCAGAUGAAGGAUUAUUUGAAAACACAAUAAAAAAAGAAAACUUUCUUCAAUUUGUUAAUGACUGCUGGAAGAAAUAUCUGAACAAAGAAGAGAGAAACGGUGAGCGAGAUAACCUGGAUGUACUGAAAGUACCAAACAAAGGCAGUCCAAGGGUAAAGACCACAAAGAGAAAAGCGGUUCUUGGACCUCCUUCGAAGAAAAUCUGUACAGCAAGUGGACCUCGUUCUACAUUAGAGUCCUGCGCAGGUCCGAUUUUUACAACCAACUUCCGACCCACUUUCGCUACUACAUGACCGACCCGAACCCGCCGCAACACAGUCUUCUUACCCGCGACCCGACCCGCUUUAAUAAGACCUGCAACCCGACCCAAACCCGCAAGUGUUUGUCCUUUACCUACUGCCUGCAUCAACGGACUCUCUCACGCUCUCACAUUCACACACAGAUAUCUACCAUUCUCCACAGAUUCAGUUUACACAAGGCUAUACAGUGUGGUAGCCUUCUCUAGUGGUCUAAAAUAUAUUUUAACAUUAACUACCUCUACUUACUUUACUAUAAAAUACCAGUCUCUCUCUUUCGUGCUAGCAAUUGAAAGGGAGCUGCACCUGUGCUUUCACAGAGAUUUUUGUGGCUGUCGUUUACAAAGACAUAAUGACAGGUUUUACAAGCAAUGAAUCCGUUCAUGCGUUUAUUAUUCGCUAUGAUUCUGAAAUAAUUCCACACUUGUGAUUUAGCUCUCGAGCUAGUAUCCACUACAUGAUAUAUACCUUGCGCUAUCUUUUGUUUUACCUCGUUCACAAACAUUUUUAAUAUCACCAAGCAGACGUGAUAAAAGGAACUUGCGACGUAUCAAACAAGCAAGAACAACACUGCUUAGUCCUCCCCAACCGGCUCCUGCUUUAGUGCUGGAAAUACCGGUACAGUUACCGUCUAGUACAUUAUUUGGGAACGAGUUACAAACAAGUACGUUGAAAGGACAGAACUUGAUGAUUAGGGUGAUUCAAAUUCAGACCCGAUUUUUUUUUUUUCACCCGCACUCGAACCGCAAACCGCAAAAAAGUUCAUUCUGACCCGAACCCGACCCGCUUUUGCCGAUGCAGGACUCCAUUCUACGUUACAAUGUACGGCUAAAUUCUGCUAUAAUUUUUUUUUUGAAUACACAUCACUUUAUUGUUUAUUACGGUGAUGUUUGUAAUGAUAUAUUGAUAUUGUAUGUAUAUAAAGACAAAUAUAUUUCCUUGCUGUGUGCAUUUUUUUCUAUUCCUAUUCCUUGCAGUACUUUACACUUUUCUCUAUUAAAUGUUAUUUGCCAUGUGUCUGCCCAGUUCUGAAUGCUGUCUAGAUCAUUUUUAAUGUAUUACUUAUAUAUAUAUAUACUUAUAUAUUUAUUGAAGUUAAAUAGUUCAUUCUUUUCUGUUGAGUUCCGCUGGCAUAAUCGUGUUCAGUCUAUUUAUCCAGUUACUUUCUUUUAUUCUUCUAUAUGUCGCAUUGUCUAAUUUUAGCUGUUCUAAUACUACAAACUUUACAUCAUUUAUGUGUAUUGUUUUAAAGUAAUAUAACCACUGUCAACUGAUUAAAGCAGGCAUGUAAGAAUAAUGGUCGCGGUGUCAGUAUUUCUGCAUGUAGUAAUAAUAAUAAUAAUAAUGUAGUGUUAACAACAAACAGAAGACACAGCUCAUGGUACGUGACUUUUCAGAAGCAGACUUGAACUUAUGACACUUCGUGGGCUGUAGCCUGCUAGCCCCAUGACCACAAAAGUGUGUGUUUUUCUAGUUCAUACUUCCUCAUUUAAAGCAGACACACAGAAUUUACAAGCGGACUUACAUGUAGACUUUAAAGUGAGACUGGGGAAAGGAAUGUGUACAAUGAAAUUGAUAUCUAUAAAAUACUUGCACAAUAUAUUGGUGUCCUGUUACUUUUUAAUGUUUCAGUAAGUUUAGGUAAAGCAUUCACGAAAUAGGUUUGACUGUUUAAUAUAAUGUAACAAUAAUAUGUUCUAACUCAUUGUCAGACAUUAUUAUGUCAGGACUGCCCAGUCCCUGACCACAUUCCGGCGCCUCCUUAAGACUCACCUCUUUAAACAGCACCUGUAGAACUCCUCUGUUUGUAUCCUGGGACACUAUCACCCUUCAUGUAAAUGUGCUUUAUUUUGGUCUUAUCUGCCCCCUAUUUUACUGCAUUUAAUCCUGUACUUCAGAAUACUGUAAUCUGCCAAGUUUUUAACCUGUAGUACUUUGUAUUUAAUCACAUCCUGAUGUAACUAUCACUAUUUAAUCACAUCCUGAUGUAACUAUCACUAUUUAAUCAUAUCCUGAUAUAACUAUCACUAUUACCUGCUGUAUUAUUGAAUUGUGGUUUGUCAAACUUGUACUUUGCUUGAACAAAAGUUAUUGUAUUUCUUGCUCUUAUUGUAUUACUUGUAUUGUAACGCUUGAAAUGUUUUUGCUUAUGAUUGUAAGUCGCCCUGGAAAAGGGCGUCUGCUAAGAAAUAAAUAAUAAUAAUAAUAAUAUUAUUGAUUUUAAAGUGCUUCAUCUAGAACAGGGGUAGGCAACCCUGGUCCUGGAGGGCAACACUCCAGUUAGUUUUGUAGCUCACCCUAAAUAACCAAUAUCUAAAGAUUGGAAACACAUUUAAGUUAUUGAUCAAUUAGCAAAGUGACAUAUGUUUAAUUAUGGGAAUGGUCCUUGAGGUAUUCAGGUUUUUAUUCCAAAUGAUCUUUAAGGGGCCUAUUCUCAAAGGACUGAGACGGUAUUUCCACAGGUGCAGAAGGGUUUACGCAGGGUCAGAGCUGCUAUUCACAUUCUGGAACGAGAGUGAGAAAAGCGGGCUCACAUCUGGGGCAGCAGUGUGGAGUAGUGGUUAGGGCUCUGGACUCUUGACCGGAGGGUUGUGGGUUCAAUCCCCAGUGGGGAACACUGCUGUUGUACCCUUGAGCAAGGUACUUUACCUAGAUUGCUCCAGUAAAAACCCAACUGUAUAAAUGGGUAAUUGUAUGUAAAAAUAAUGUGAUAUCUGUAUAAUGUGAAAUAAUGUAUAAUGUGAUAUCUUGUAACAAUUGUAAGUCGCCCUGGAUAAGGGCGUCUGCGAAGAAAUAAAUAAUAAUAAUAAUAAUAAUCUGGAGCUCAGGUACACGUUUCAGGGCGCGCAGGAUUCAAAGUGGCCGUGGUUUAGCUAAAAA